rnacentral:lncRNA from 1 species
CAGAACACACCGCUGCCUCUCUUCCUCCAUCUCCUCCUCCUUCAACUAUCAGAUCUCAAAAUUACCAUCAGAACCAAACCACUCCAUCCAACCAUCAGAACCAAACUAUCUCCUUCGUCGUUCAUCAGCAGUUCGACAACACCAAUCUCAUCAGACCUCAAACAAAAAAAUCAAACCCAAUCCAAAAUCAAAUCUCAUCAUCCCACCCCCAGAACCCCAAAAAUCAAAUCCAAAACCAAAAUUUCAUCAUCUCGAAACCCAUUAAGAAUCAAAUCGUAUCCCACCUUCCCGAGCCGUCGCCGUUCUAGGUUAUCAACAUAAUAAAUCACGUCCUGGGUCGUCAACGCCGACGCCGUCUACAUCGCCUUCCUCGAACCCUAACCUAGUCGCAUCCACAUUGGCCUCUCGCUCUUCCAUUUUCGCUCUAGGUGUGGAGAGUCAAAGAGGAUAGAGAAGACUAGAAGAGAAGGGGGAAGGACCAAGAGAUAAAUGGGGAGAGGUGUGGGGAGGUUAGUGGAGGAGGAGAUGGAGGAAGAGAGGCAGCGAU